UGGGGAAUAUUGGGCAAUGGGGCGCAAGCCUGACCCAGCAACGCCGCGUGAAGGAAGAAGGCCCUCGGGUUGUAAACUUCUUUUCUUGAGGACGAAGCAAGUGACGGUACUCAAGGAAUAAGCCACGGCUAACUACGUGCCAGCAGCCGCGGUAAUACGUAGGUGGCAAGCGUUAUCCGGAUUUACUGGGUGUAAAGGGCGUGUAGGCGGGAUUGCAAGUCAGAUGUGAAAACUGGAGGCUCAACCUCCAGCCUGCAUUUGAAACUGUAGUUCUUGAGUACUGGAGAGGCAGACGGAAUUCCUAGUGUAGCGGUGAAAUGCGUAGAUAUUAGGAGGAACACCAGUGGCGAAGGCGGUCUGCUGGACAGCAACUGACGCUGAGGCGCGAAAGCGUGGGGAGCAAACAGGAUUAGAUACCCUGGUAGU
rnacentral:rRNA from 1 species